AGCAGCCGCGGUAAUUCCAGCUCCAAUAGCGUAUAUUAAAGUUGUUGCAGUUAAAAAGCUCGUAGUUGAAUUUCGGGAUCGACGGGUCGGUCGCGCCUCUGGUGUGUACUGGCCCUGUCGGUUUCUCCCUUCUGACGAACCACGAUGUCAUUAAUUUGGUGUCGUGGGGAAUCAGGACUGUUACUUUGAAAAAUUAGAGUGUUUAAAGCAAGCAUUCGCUUGAAUACAUUAGCAUGGAAUAAUGAAAUAGGACGUUUGAUCUUAUUUUGUUGGUUUCUAAGAUCGACGUAAUGAUUAAUAGGGAUAGUUGGGGGCAUUAGUAUUCAAUUGUCAGAGGUGAAAUUCUUGGAUUUAUUGAAGACUAACUACUGCGAAAGCAUUUGCCAAGGAUGUUUUCAUUAAUACAAGAACGAAAGUUAGGGGAUCGAAGACGAUCAGAUACCGUCGUAG
rnacentral:rRNA from 1 species